UCACCAUUGGCACGGUCAAAAAGCAGAAGGUAAGGAAAUUUCCAAGGUAAAAUUUCAAACAACUUCUUCCAAAGGUACAUGGAAAUAGUAAGCUUGCUCCUUUCAAGAAACCACUGGAGAUCUUUCUGAAAAUCUCAACCUUCAACCCACAAAUGUAUCAAGACCUUUGCUGAUACAACUUGUGACAGAUCACACAGCUUCAGCUCAUUUUCUCCUGAUGGGGAUCAGUGCUACAGCCCAGGCAGUAAGAUUUGCUAACAUAGCUGUUAUCCUCCACAUGUGCCAUAUCAUAAAACGGGUGACUUCAUCAAUACGAAAGCGUUCCAUUCCAUCAAGAGAAAGCACAGCAAAAUGAGAUUUCCAGAAUUCACAGUGUUUUGCCUUCAAUUAACUUCCCUCUACAUUGAUCUUCCUCUUACUGACCUUUGGAUCUGUUCAAGACUUGCUGAAACAAAAAGCUGGAUAUCUGACAUUAAAUGGGUAAAAACACAAGCCAAGCUAUGAGCAGCAAUGUGGAACAAAAAGAGUGUUUACUCCACCCAGACUGAGUAACCUGCAGUGUAACCCUAGCUGGUCCAGUUUUUGUUAAAUCAUUAUUAGUUUUCUACCCAGUCUGCUUAAUGCUCAAUAUAUCAA